rnacentral:rRNA from 1 species
AUACGGAGGGUGCAAGCGUUACUCGGAAUCACUGGGCGUAAAGCGCGCGCAGGCGGCUAUUUAAGUUGGAUGUGAAAGCCUAUGGCUCAACCAUAGAACUGCAUCCAAAACUAUUUGGCUAGAGUGUGGGAGAGGAAGAUGGAAUUAGUUGUGUAGGGGUAAAAUCCGUAGAGAUAACUAGGAAUACCAAAAGCGAAGGCAAUCUUCUGGAACACUACUGACGCUGAGGCGCGAAAGCGUGGGGAGCAAACGGGAUUAGAAACCCUAGUAGUCC